rnacentral:rRNA from 1 species
GAUGAACGCUGGCGGCGUGCCUAAUACAUGCAAGUCGAGCGAACGGACGAGAAGCUUGCUUCUCUGAUGUUAGCGGCGGACGGGUGAGUAACACGUGGAUAACCUACCUAUAAGACUGGGAUAACUUCGGGAAACCGGAGCUAAUACCGGAUGAUAUUUUGAACCGCAUGGUUCAAAAGUGAAAGACGGUCUUGCUGUCUCUUAUAGAUGGAUCCGCGCUGCAUUAGCUAGUUGGUAAGGUAACGGCUUACCAAGGCAACGAUGCAUAGCCGACCUGAGAGGGUGAUCGCCCACACUGGAACUGAGACACGCUCCAUACUCCUACGGGAGGCAGCAGUAUGGAAUCUUCCGCAAAGGUCGAAAGCCUUGCGGAGCAACGCCGCGUGAGUGAUGAAGGUCUUCGGUUCGUAAUACUCUGUUAUUGGUUAAGAACAUAUUUGUAAGUAACUGUGCACAUCGUGACGGUACCUAAUCAGAAAGCCCCGGCUAACUACGUG